rnacentral:lncRNA from 7 species
AGGUGCUAAGGAGCAACAGGAGGCACUUCACCCAUAGUACUGCAGGGCCCCAGGCACUAAGCACACAGUGGUGAGGAGAGUGAUCUGUGGGAAGGCAGUGGAGAACAGCAGCACUCUCAAGAAAUUGAUCUUCAUUUGCACUACAAAGGUACUCCUCCUACUGCUGUUUUAUGAAAAAGAAAGAAGUUUCUGCAAAAACAAUAUGCCACGGGGUACACAACAAGCUGUGCUUUCUUGUGGGUGGGACCUGGCUGAUAAUCUAUUUGUUGGAGACUCAGCGUAUGUCGAAUGCAUUUCCUCAGUUCCUUGCAACCAGUGUCAGAGAUACCCUGAUCAUCCAUGAAAGAAUCUUCUCAGGGUUCUCCUGCUAUCCUCCAGACCAUCAUGCCAACAUCUUCACUGAUGGGGAAGAUGUUGAAGGCAUUUGUGUAUCACAACACUUUAUUCACUUCUUUUCAGAUAAUUUUCUAUCAGUGUUAAUUCCAUCCACAAACAUCUUACAAAAUGCCAGUCCCAUGGAAAUCAGUUUAAUCUAGUGAUUCUUUAAAUAAUUAUCUUCAGUAUGAGAAGCAUGUGGGCUUCAUUUCAAAGUGAUGAUUUAUCAAAUUGUUUUGGUAGGUGAUAAGGGAUGCCACAAAAGGAGCUUAUUUUCACUAUUAUAAUGCCUUUAAAAAACAAAACAAAAAAAAGAAAAAAAACCUACAAAGAUUGGACUUUUCCUUCUAUCAUUUAAUUACUGUGCAUUUAGAAUAAAGUUACUUAAGUGGCUUUUUGGCCUAUUUUGUUAUACAGCAUUAUUUCCCAUGGAAGUCCAAAAAGAAAAAAAUUCUUUUAAACUUACUUGGUUUUUCAAUAUUAUAUAUUUCCUUCUUAUGGCAGAUUUAUGAGUAGGCCAAGAGAAAUAUUCUGUCACCUUUCUCAGAUUGUUUUUUCUUUUCCCGUUUCCCAGUCAUACCUUACAUUAGAGGUAAACACUUUAUUUCAGGUAGUAUCUGUUGAAUAAUUAUUUUUCAUUGCUAUAGUGUUACAGAUAACAAAUAGAGGAGGGUCAUUAUGAAAAGUAUUGUACAAUCAGAAAGUAAAUGAGGCCUUGCCCUGAAAAGCCUGGGAUUUUAUGCAUGCAAAAUAAAACUGUAUAUAUACAAUAGUGCAAUACUUAGGAAAAAGUUAUAACACCAUUUUGCAAAAUAAAAUGUCACUGUAAUU